GCCGGGUGCAGUGGUGCACACCUGUCAUCCCAGCAGCUCAGGAGGCUGAGGCAGGAGGAUCACGAGUUCAAAGCCAGCCUCAGCCAAAGUGAGGUGCUAAGCAACUCAGUGAGACCCUGUCUCUA
rnacentral:sRNA from 1 species